rnacentral:piRNA from 1 species
UUACCUGAAGACUCUUACGUCCUGGGUGAA